rnacentral:rRNA from 1 species
GACGAACCGUGCGAACGUUGUUCGGAAUCACUGGGCUUAAAGGGCGCGUAGGCGGGCGGCCAAGUCGGAGGUGAAAGCCUGCAGCUCAACUGCAGAAGUGCCCCCGAUACUGGUUGUCUCGAGGGAGGUAGGGGCAUGUGGAACUUCCGGUGGAGCGGUGAAAUUCGUAGAUAUUCGCAAGAACACCAGUGGCGAAGGCGGCUCACUGGCCCGAUACUGACGCUGAGGCACGAAAGCGUGGGGAGCAAACAGG